AGUCGAGCGGAUGAAGAGAGCUUGCUCUCUGAUUCAGCGGCGGACGGGUGAGUGAUGCCUAUGAGUCUGCCUGGUAGUGGGGGACGGCGUCUCGAAGGGGACGCUGAUACCGCAUACGUCCUACGGGAGAAAGCAGGGGACCUUCGGGCCUUGCGCUAUCAGAUGAGCCUAGGUCGGAUUAGCUAGUUGGUGAGGUAAUGGCUCACCAAGGCGACGAUCCGUAACUGGUCUGAGAGGAUGAUCAGUCACACUGGAACUGAGACACGGUCCAGACUCCUACGGGAGGCAGCAGUGGGGAAUAUUGGACAAUGGGCGAGAGCCUGAUCCAGCCAUGCCGCGUGUGUGAAGAAGGUCUUCGGAUUGUAAAGCACUUUAAGUUGGGAGGAAGGGCAUUAACCUAAUACGUUGAUGUUUUGACGUUACCGACAGAAUAAGCACCGGCUAACUCUGUGCCAGCAGCCGCGGUAAUACAGAGGGUGCAAGCGUUAAUCGGAAUUACUGGGCGUAAAGCGCGCGUAGGUGGUUUGUUAAGUUGAAUGUGAAAUCCCCGGGCUCAACCUGGGAACUGCAUCCAAAACUGGCAAGCUAGAGUAUGGCAGAGGGUGGUGGAAUUUCCUGUGUAGCGGUGAAAUGCGUAGAUAUAGGAAGGAACACCAGUGGCGAAGGCGACCACCUGCGCUCAUACUGACACUGACGUGCGAAAGCG
rnacentral:rRNA from 1 species